rnacentral:rRNA from 1 species
UACGUAGGGGGCAAGCGUUGUCCGGAAUUAUUGGGCGUAAAGAGCGCGUAGGCGGUCCGAUAAGUCGGCUGUGAAAGUCUAGGGCUCAACCCCUGGAAAGCCGGCCGAUACUGUCGGACUAGAGUCCGGAAGAGGCGAGUGGAAUUCCCGGUGGUAGCGGUGAAAUGCGCAGAUAUCGGGAGGAACACCAAUGGCGAAGGCAGCUCGCUGGGACGGUACUGACGCUGAGGCGCGAAAGCGUGGGGAGCAACAGG